rnacentral:rRNA from 1 species
AAUGGGCGCAAGCCUGAUGCAGCAAUGCCGCGUGUGUGAAGAAGGCCUGCGGGUUGUAAAGCACUUUCAAUAGUGAAGAAAAGUUGUAGGUUAAUACCCUGCGACCUUGACGUUAACUAUACAAGAAGCACCGGCUAACUCCGUGCCAGCAGCCGCGGUAAUACGGAGGGUGCAAGCGUUAAUCGGAAUUACUGGGCGUAAAGCGUGCGUAGGCUGUUUGCUAAGUCAGAUGUGAAAGCCCCGGGCUUAACCUGGGAACUGCAUUUGAUACUGGCAGACUAGAAUGUGGUAGAGGGAGGUAGAACUCCUGGUGUAGCGGUGAAAUGCGUAGAUAUCAGAAGGAAUACCAGUGGCGAAGGCGGCCUCCUGGACCAACAUUGACGCUGAGGUACGAAAGCGUGGGUAGCGAACAGGAUU